GAUGAACGCUCGCUGUGUGCCUAAUACAUGCAUGUUGAACGGGAUGUAGCAAUACAUUCAGUAGCGAAUGGGUGAGUAACACGUACCUAACCUACCUUUAAGACUGGGAUAACUAUUGGAAACAAUAGCUAAUACCGGAUAUAGUUAUUUAUCGCAUGAUGAGUAAUAGAAAGGAGCUUCACAGCUUCACUUAAAAAUGGGGGUGCGGAACAUUAGUUAGUUGGUAGGGUAAUGGCCUACCAAGACGAUGAUGUUUAGCCGGGCCGAGAGGCUGUACGGCCACACUGGGACUGAGAUACGGCCCAGACUCCUACGGGAGGCAGCAGUAGGGAAUUUUCCACAAUGAGCGAAAGCUUGAUGGAGCGACACAGCGUGCAGGAUGAAGUUCUUCGGAAUGUAAACUGCUGUUAUAAGGGAAGAAAAAAUAGAAUAGGAAAUGAUUUUAUCUUGACGGUACCUUAUUAGAAAGCGACGGCAAACUAUGUGCCAGCAGCUGCGGUAAUACAUAGGUCGCAAGCGUUAUCCGGAAUUAUUGGGCGUAAAGCGUCCGUAGGUUUUUUGCUAAGUCUGGAGUUAAAUGCUGAAGCUCAACUUCAGUCCGCUUUGGAUACUGGCAAAAUAGAAUUAUAAAGAGGUUAGCGGAAUUCCUAGUGAAGCGGUGGAAUGCGUAGAUAUUAGGAGGAACACCAAUAGGCGAAGGCAGCUAACUGGUUAUAUAUUGACACUAAGGGACGAAAGCGUGGGGAGCAAACAGG
rnacentral:rRNA from 1 species